rnacentral:rRNA from 1 species
GACGAACGCUGGCGGCAUGCCUAACACAUGCAAGUCGAACGAGACCGUCGGGUCUAGUGGCGCACGGGUGCGUAACGCGUGGGAACAUGCCUUUAGGUUCGGACUAACACCCCGAAAUGGGUGCUAAUAACGGAUACUGUCUUCGGACCCGAGAUUUAUCGCCUUUGGAUGGGCCCGGGUUGGAUUAGGUAGUUGGUAGGGUAAAAGCCUACCAAGGUGACGAUCCUUAGCUGGUCGGAGAGGAUGACCAGCCACACUGGGACUACGACACGGCCCCGUCCCCGACGGGAGGGAGCAGUGGGGAGUAUUGUACGAUGGAGGAAGACCUAGCCAAGCCGUGCCGGGGGAGUGAUGAAGGCCUUAGUGUUGUAAUGCUCUCUUACCCGGGAUGAUAAUGACAGUACCGGGAGAAUAAGCGCCGGCUAACUACGUG